rnacentral:rRNA from 1 species
UGGGGAAUUUUGGACAAUGGGCGCAAGCCUGAUCCAGCCAUGCCGCGUGCAGGAUGAAGGCCUUCGGGUUGUAAACUGCUUUUUGUACGGAACGAAAAGACUCUGGUUAAUACCUGGGGUCCAUGACGGUACCGUAAGAAUAAGCACCGGCUAACUACGUGCCAGCAGCCGCGGUAAUACGUAGGGUGCGAGCGUUAAUCGGAAUUACUGGGCGUAAAGCGUGCGCAGGCGGUUAUAUAAGACAGAUGUGAAAUCCCCGGGCUCAACCUGGGAACUGCAUUUGUGACUGUAUAGCUAGAGUACGGCAGAGGGGGAUGGAAUUCCGCGUGUAGCAGUGAAAUGCGUAGAUAUGCGGAGGAACACCGAUGGCGAAGGCAAUCCCCUGGACCUGUACUGACGCUCAUGCACGAAAGCGUGGGGAGCAAACAGGAUUAGAUACCCUCGUAGUCCCUGAGCGGGCUGGCAAGGCGCAU